rnacentral:rRNA from 1 species
AUGGAGGUGGUGAGUGCUUCACAGGGCGUGUUAGGUCCCCUGCUGGGGAAGCUCGCUGGUUUGCUUGAAGGUGAGUGUGCCCGCCUCAAAGGCGUCCGCCGCGAGAUCCGCUCGCUCAAAGCUGAGCUGACUGGCAUGCAUGGCGCCGUCCACAAGUACACUAUGCUGCAAGAUCCCGACAUCCAGGUGAAGGACUGGAUAUCACUCGUGAGGGAGCUGGCCUACGACAUCGAGGAUGUCAUCGACAAGUUCAUCCACCAGCUCGGUAAUGGCGGCCAACACCACGGUGGAUUCAAGGAGUUCUUCCACAAGACUGCUCGACGUCUCAAGACUCUCGGCUCUCGCCGUGGAAUCGCCAGCCAAAUCGAUGAUCUGAAAAUUCGUCUCAAGGAGGUAAAAGAGUUGAAGACUAGUUACAAGCUGGAUGGUAUUCCCUAUGAACAUUCAGCUGUGGAUCCCCGCUUGUCCGCUCUUUUUGUUGAGGAAGCACAUCUUGUGGGCAUUGAUGGUCCAAGAGAUGAUCUUGUUACCUGGAUGCUGGAAGAUGAAAAUAGCUCGACCAAGGAUCGCAAAGUGUUGUCCAUUGUUGGCUUUGGUGGAUUGGGAAAAACCACACUGGCAAGGGAGGUCUAUCGCAAGAUCCAAGGACAUUUUGAUUGUCAGGCUUUUGUCUCUGUCUCGCAAAAGCCUAAUGUAAAGAAAAUGAUGACGGAUUUGAUCUCCCAGAUGCCUUGCAAGGAAGAUUUUGUGAAAGGAAUCGACACCUGGGAUGAAACGAUAUGUAUUGCGAAGCUAAAAGAGCUCUUAAAAGAUAAGNNGUAUCUCAUCGUUAUUGAUGAUAUAUGGUCGAUAUCAGCAUGGGAUGCUAUUAAGUAUGCUUUCCCAGAGAAUGAUUUUUGUAGCAGAAUUAUUGCUACUACACGCGAUGUUGAUGUAGCAAGAUCAUGUUGUCAAGGUGGUAAUUGUCGCAUGUAUGAAAUGGAAGUCCUGAGUGAUCUCCACUCCAAAAGAUUGUUUUUCAAAAGAAUAUUUGGUUCCGAGGACUGUUGCCCUGAUGUGCUAAAACAAAUUUCAAAUAAAAUACUGAAGAAAUGUGGAGGCCUACCAUUGGCAAUUAUCAGCAUAUCAAGUUUACUGGCAAACAGACCGGUGGUCAAAGAUGAGUGGGAGAGAGUUGGAAGGUCCAUUAGUUCUGCAUUGGACAAAAACCGAAGCUUAGAAGGAAUGAAUAGUAUACUAUCCCUUAGCUACAAUGACCUUCCACCUAAUCUGAAGACCUGCUUGUUAUAUCUAUGUAUAUAUCCUGAGGAUUAUGUGAUUGAGAGAGAUACUUUAGUGAGGCGAUGGAUAGCAGAAGGCUUUAUCUCCGAAGAGCGUGGACAGAGCAAACAAGAGGUUGCCGAGAACCAUUUCUAUGAGCUAAUAAACAAAAGUAUGAUCCAACCGGUGGAAGUUGGCUAUGAUGGAAAGGCUCGUGCUUGUAAAGUCCAUGAUAUGAUGCUUGAGCUCCUUAUUUCAAAAUCUGUUGAAAAUAAUUUCAUCUCUUUGGCAGGCCACCGACAAACUGAUUUGGCAAAGUAUGAUGGUUUUAUUCGACGACUAUCAGUCCACCAUAUUGACCUAGAGCUUGCAUCUAUAUUGGCAAAUGAAGAACUAAGCCAUGUACGAUCUCUAACAGUGAUGGCUUCAACUUGCAUCAAACACUUGCCUGGGCUUGUUUGUUUUGAAGCUUUGCGUGUCCUGGAAUUUCAAGAUUGUCAGAACCUGCAUGAGUAUGAUAUGAAUGGCAUAGAUAAACUAUUUCAGUUGAAGUACCUGAGCUUCAGGGGCACUGACAUGUUGAAGCUACCAUCAGGAGUUGUGAGGCUUUAUGGUCUAGAGACAUUGGACCUUAGAAAUACACAUAUAGAAGAAUUGCCCACUGGAAUUAUUCAACUUGUUAAGCUACAAAAUCUACUCAUUGCAAGUGAAACAAAGAUACCAAAUGGGAUUGGAACUAUGAAGAAUUUACAGGUGAUCUCGGGCUUUAAUAUUAUCAAGAGUUCAUUAUGUGCAGUUGAGGAACUGGGGAAUCUGACCGGUUUGAAAGUCCUCCAUCUACAGUUGGACGGUGGAGGAUCUCAGGAAUACAGGAGACAUGAAGAGAUGUUACUCUCCUCGCUGUGCAAGCUUGGCACAUGCAAACUUCAGUCUAUAUGGAUACGCACUUCUGAUUCAACACCCCUCCAGUUCAUAGAUUCCUGGUCCCCUCUGCCAUAUAACCUCCAAAUGUUUCGGAUGACCACUAACUACUAUUUACCAAAGAUGCCAAAGUGGAUUGUACCAGCACUCACCAGUCUUGCAUACCUGAACAUUAAUCUGAUUGAAGCAACACAGGAGGAUCUGCGGAUACUCGGAGAGAUGCCUGCCUUACUUUGUCUGAAGUUAGCAGUCAAAACUAUCCAAAAAGAAAGGCUUACCGUACAAGGCGUUGCAUUCCCAUGUUUGAAGGAAUUUUGUUGUGAAGAUGCAAUGUACUUGACGUUUGAAGAAGGGGCACUGCCAAAGCUGGAGAAGCUUGAGCUGCCGUUGUUUGUUUCAGUGGCAAAAGCCAAUGGGUUCCAAUUGGGUCUUGGCCACCUCCCAUGUUUGAGAGAUGCCAAAUUUUACCUUUGCAAUGAUGUUGACACAUCUUAUGAAAGCUACUCUGUUGCAGUUGGUGCUAUAAGGAAGGAGGCAAAUAGCCAUCCCAAUCAUCCCAGGUUAUCUAUC